GUGAGCAGUACGAGCUGAAAGGCUCCCAUACUGUUUGGAGGGCAGGGAGCAUAGAUGCCAAAGAAAGCUGACCCCUAU
rfam:Arabis alpina cultivar Pajares chromosome 8, whole genome shotgun sequence.